GNAUGGGGGAACCCUGAUGCAGCGACGCCGCGUGGAGGAAGAAGGUUUUCGUGNCANUNAAACUCCNGGGCGUUAGGGACGAUAAUGACGGUACCUAACANNNAAGCACCGGCUAACUACGUGCCAGCAGCCGCGGUAAAACGUAGGGUGCAAGCGUUGUCCGGAAUUACUGGGUGUAAAGGGAGCGCAGGCGGGAAGACAAGUUGGAAGUGAAAACCAUGGGCUCAACCCAUGAAUUGCUUUCAAAACUGUUUUUCUUGAGUAGUGCAGAGGUAGAUGGAAUUCCCGGUGUAGCGGUGGAAUGCGUAGAUAUCGGGAGGAACACCAGUGGCGAAGGCGGUCUACUGGGCACCAACUGACGCUGAGGCUCGAAAGCAUGGGUAGCAAACAGGAUUAGAUACCCUGGUAGUCCAAGGGCGAAUUC
rnacentral:rRNA from 1 species